UUCCGGUUGAUCCUGCCAGAGGUUACUGCUAUCGAGGUUCGACUAAGCCAUGCGAGUCGAAUGUAGCAAUACAUGGCGUACUGCUCAGUAACACGUGGACAACCUGCCCUUAGGUCGGGUAUAAACCCGGGAAACUGGGUAUAAUCCCCGAUAGGUCUCGGCUGCUGGAAUGCAUCGAGAUUAAAAGCUCCGGCGCCUAAGGAUGGGUCUGCGGCCUAUCAGGUAGUAGUGGGUGUAGUGUACCUACUAGCCUACGACGGGUACGGGUUGUGAGAGCAAGAGCCCGGAGAUGGAUUCUGAGACACGAAUCCAGGCCCUACGGGGUGCAGCAGGCGCGAAAACUUUACAAUGCUGGCAACAGCGAUAAGGGAACCUCGAGUGCCAGGUUACAAAUCUGGCUGUCGAGAUGCCUAAAAAGCAUUUCAUAGCAAGGGCCGGGCAAGACCGGUGCCAGCCGCCGCGGUAACACCGGCGGCUCGAGUGGUAACCGUUAUUAUUGGGUCUAAAGGGUCUGUAGCCGGCCGGAUAAGUCUCUUGAGAAAUCUGGCAGCUUAACUGUCAGGCUUUCAGGAGAUACUGUCUGGCUCGAGGCCGGGAGAGGUGAGAGGUACUUCAGGGGUAGGGGUGAAAUCUUGUAGUCCUUGAAGGACCACCAGUGGCGAAGGCGUCUCACCAGAACGGACCUGACGGCAAGGGACGAAAGCUAGGGGCACGAACCGGAUUAGAUACCCGGGUAGUCCUAGCCGUAAACGAUACUCGCUAGGUGUCGGCCACGGUGCGACCGUUGUCGGUGCCGUAGGGAAGCCGUGAAGCGAGCCACCUGGGAAGUACGGCCGCAAGGCUGAAACUUAAAGGAAUUGGCGGGA
rnacentral:rRNA from 1 species